UCCGAAAUUUUAUUUACGAAAAUGGCGGAUCAAGUGCUGCGAGAGCUUGAGGCUGCUGCACAAAUUUUUUUAGCACCGCCAAAUCUGGUUAGUAGCGAGCAACGACAGUCCGCAGAGGGGGUAUUUCUGAAUUUUCGCAAGACAAAAUCUCCGUACCAGUUAUGCAGAACCAUUCUGGAAAGUUGUACCGUAGAUUAUGUGUUGUUCGAAGCUGCUGGUCUAAUAAAGACUGCGCUUGUGAGAGAAUGGACGGUAUUACCUGAGGAUGACAUAGUUUCGCUCAGACGAUACUUGUUUCAUUACAUCAUAAACAAACCUAAUUUGGCUCUGUUUGUACGCGAAAGAAUACUCCAAAUAAUAGCCAUUAUGGUGAAGAGAGGAAGUACGCGUGACGCAGGACAAGAUAGAGUAUUGAUAUUGGACGAAGUGGAGGAAUUGAUAAGGAGCGGAGACAGGCCGAGACAACUUAUAGGCUGUGGCUUAAUAUCGGCUUUGAUGCAAGAACAUAAAAUAACAGUGAAAUCGGCGGACAUGGGACUAACGUGGGAAGCGCACUUCAGAGCCAAGACCCAAUUCCAAGUGAUGGAUCUGAAGAGAAUAUUGAAAUUCUCUGUGGGUGCCAUCGCCGAGCUGACCAAGGACGGAAUUGCGGAGGAGAAUUUUUCAUUGAUAAAACACUUGCUUUGCAUAGCGGAGGGUGUACUGGCCUGGGGCUUUGUUUAUCAUCCAUUGCCAAGAGGUUUGGUUGGUCACUUUGAAGCUGUUCACGAAGCUGAUAAUGCGCCCUCUCUCAAUUUACAUCCUACCUGGCGCGACGUCAUUCUCGAUCCAGCGAUUCUUGAAUUAUUUUUUCCCCUUUAUUGGAAAGUUCGGACCAUGCCGCAGUUAGCUCAUCACGCAAGAAAUUGUUUGGUACAAUUGGCAAGUUUGAACGGUAGUGUGUUCGCAACCGAGGAUCAAAAAAUUGCUUAUCUCACUAAUUACGUUCAAGGCUUCCUCAAUCUCGUUUGCAAUAUCGAUGUCAUCGAUCACGAAGCUCUAGGUAUCGCGAAUAUAAUACGCAAAAUAAUGUCCUUCUUCCGGCCAAGUGGACUCGCCGCUCUGCCUGAAAAUCUAUUUCGAUCGUUCAUGGAACAGAUGACAAGGCUGACUUGUCUCUUUGCAGAGAAUGCAGCUCAAGAAGAAUCGAUGUGCGCCGAUGAUUGCAUGUACAUGGAAGCUUUGGAUCGCAUACUCGAGACGUGGAUACCCGUCGUAACCAAAGAUCAUUUGUUUCCUCGGGACUUCUCUAAGCAGUGUUUUACUCAAAUAUUCAAUACAUAUUUAAAAUGUCAUUUAGCACCACCCGAUGGAACGCGAGGAGCUGCCGGAGGCAAAGACAUCGAGGAAGAAAUAGACGUUAUCGAGGAAGACGAUGGAACCAAGUACAUGGAACAAUUGCAAAUAAUAGGAAAUUUCGGUAGAGAAAUAGUUGGACACUCGUUGAUUGUACUGACGAGAUUACUCGAGGAUAGAACGACGAAAUUACGCGAACAAUUGAAUCGAUUGGCUGCACAACCGGAAACCAUGAAUAUCGCCAGCUCAAAUAUAAUAAAAAAUCUUUACGAAGAUUUGCACUGGCUCGUACUCAUCACCGGACACGUACUUUGCGUAGAGUGCGACGGGGAAUAUUUUUUACCGUCCGAAAUAAUGACUUACAGCAUGGAACAGGCUCGUCGGGGUCAAGUGGAUGUAAAUGUAACUCUCCAAUUAUUGGCAUCUCCUCGAAACGACGUUUCCGAGGUGUCCGGUGCCGAAGAAUCGGCUGAUCACGUAAUACGUCUUAUAGCCGCGGUCUUUCGUCUCUGUGAAUUUGAGAAAAACGCAAUUGCCGCUAAUCUUACGAGUUUAUUGAGUCCUGAAUUAAGUUGCACCAUCGUAUGGUUCUUACAUAGAUGGUCCGUACGAUAUCUUUUACUCGUUGAAAACCAUUAUUCCGAAAUAAGUACUACAAUAUUAGAAGCCUUUGGCGAGGAAAGCCCGGCUGCUCUGUGGACUAUGAAUUAUAUGCUGGAAAAAAUUACCUGCAACAUCAAUGCCUUCAAAUCGGAGCCUACUCUCAUCAAAGAUACGAUACAACUUUUAGUCGCAUUGGUCGAAUAUCGUACAAAAGCCGCGUGCGUUCUCAAAUCGGAAUGUCUCGGACGUCUUAUCGAAUUAGCGACAAAGAGCAGAUACGAUCUUCCCCAAUCGGCCAAGAGAGGGUUGAUGCGAGCCGUCGUUCAAGUCGGUGCUGCCCUGCGCGAUGAGACUUAUGAGGAACAGUACUGGUCCCAAACGCUUCAGCCCCUUCUUGAUCGUUUCAAACAAAUCAUAUCUAACGACAAUUUUCCGGGUUCUUAUCAUCAGGAGCAAAUCAGAAUUCAAUUGAUCGACCUCUUGGAAUCGUAUAUCGGAGUCGCUCAAGGUGUUAAAAACGCUACGGUACGAACUGUAUUCCAAUACACAGCGCCUGUACUUGGUGAAUUGUCAAAUCUUCUGUCACUUUAUCACAAUUAUCAAGAAUUGGUUCAGCUCGUACUCGAAGUUUUUUGCGAAUGCACACGAGGAAUGUUGUGCUUUCUUGCCCAGGAGGACAGCGUAAGAAUUUACGAGGCGUGCCUUCACACGAUACAGACAUACGCUCGUUUCAAUACGAACCGUUUGACAAUCGAUUCAACGGCAGAGGAAGACAAUUUUCAGGACAUUCUUCUGCUCAUGCAAUUGCUCACUAAUUUAUUAAGUAAAGACAUAUACGACAUGAGCCACUUGGAGACUGGAAUCACGCUUGAACAACCGCCCACACCCGCAGACGUAUUUUUAUACGGAUUGAAUAUCGUCAUGCCUCUAAUGACGAUGAAUCUCUUGAAAUUUCCUUCGUUAUGCCGACAGUACUUCAAAAUGAUUAUACUCGUGUGUGAAAUACACCCGAAAAAAGUUUGUCAAUUGCCACCGGAGUUAUUACAAAAAUUAUUGGGCUCGGUUGAAUUGGGACUUUUUUCAUUCGGCCACGAUAUCACGGUAUUGUGUUGUGAUAUUAUUCAAGGGUUAGCUCGACACAUUUACAAUGAAGGUAAAAAUGGAGGACCCAAGAAUCAAUUGAUGCUUCCAUUUUUGAGUUUAUUGAUGAAUCUCAUAAUGACGCAUCAAAUAAAUUCGGACUCGAUGAAAACUACGAGUGUUCCACUGUACAGCUUGAUAUGCUGUUACCAGGAGCAGUAUCAACAAAUAGUUCAAAAUUUAAUAUCUUCGCAAGCGGAUCCACAUAUAGCACAAAGAUUAGCCACAGCCUUUACCGAAUUGACUCAGAAUAUACAAUUGAAUGCCGAGAACGUACAGAAGCUAAGAUUCCGUUCGAAUUUCGACAAAUUUAUUCUCAAUGUUCAAGGCUUUAUGAUAGUCAAGUAAAAUGCGAUUUCGAAUGUCGGGGAUACGGCCAAAGUUACGUAAGAGUGCUGAACAACGAACACCGUCAUGAACGGUGAUUGACAAAGAAGAUGAAUAUACGAGAGUAAAUAGAUGAAGCGGGACAAACAUCUAGGAUUUGUUGAUUGAUGAAUCAACACCGCGCACGCGCGGACGCCACAAAAUCCAACGAAAACAAUUCAUCCCUCUGAAAGUUGAUGAGACUUCCUUUGACAAAUUCCUAUUGCAUCUUACUGUUUUACACUCGCUUCGGUCACUCCUCGGAAGAAACAUGUUUUAUUUUAUUCCGUGGAAAUGAUUUUAUUCGUUUUCGCUCUUGUGAAAAUAAAUAUCAUCGAUGAUAUUUGUACGUGAGAAAUGACUUCGCCUGUCGAUAAAAACGCUGAAAGUAUUUCGAUAAAGAAACACGAAAGAAAGCACGAAAUAUUAAGUACACAUCGUUAUUAACUUGCGUGUGCCCGAGGAGUUUUCAUCUCAUGGUUUUUGUGCUCGUACGGUUUCGUUAGAAGAUUUUUUUUUUUCUAUCCAAUCGAUUUCCAUCAGGCGUUAUGCAUACAUUUUUUUUCUUGCUGUUUGAACACCUUGUAGUACAGAAACGUCUAUUUUCAUAAGUAUAUUUAUAAUAAAUUCAUGUCAGAUGUAUAAUAACUAUGUAAGGAUUAUAAAAAAUCUGGAUUUUUUAAACGAACUCGAAUAACGAGAAAAAGAAUUUGACAUGAACUAAAUAUCAAUCCAACAUUGAUAAAAUAUAUAUAAUAUAAAUGAAAAGAAAUUUUUGAGUUCACGAAAUGACUGGUGGUUUUUCGUGAAAUUUUACAAUGAUACUCGAUUGAAUUCUCAAUCGACAUAUAUUGAAGAUUGAUAAAGGAGAUGAUGAUAAAAAGAGAUAUAAAGCAUGAGGAAUUAUGAAUAGUUAUAAGUUUUCAUUCGUGUAUUUAGGGUAUAUUUUGAGUUUUUACAAUUAAGAGAUAUGCGAGUGUUGAUUGAUUCGUUGACGUGGGUUCAAUUAAGAGAUAUGUGAGUGAAAUUGAUGGUGGUACCUCAACGAGGGAAAACCCCCGCAAUUGCGUCAUUGUAGUCUUUUCCACAUAGGACGUAUUGUACAGCCUGCAAUAUUUGCAAAUAUUCACUGAGGAAAAGUGUAUUUUCUGUUCUGACAUUCAUAUUCACAUCACGCCUAACAAACACACACGCGCACGCACGCAUAUAUACAUAUAUAUUGCAUAAGGACCCCGCUUUGUUGAAUACCAGAUCCAGUAUUCUCGAUUUGUGUUAGUCUACCAUUUUAUAUUUUGCUAUUUCGAACUUGAACGUUCAAUAACGAUGGGCGGAGAAAUUGUUAUAGGAACACCAAUUCAAUUAUUUUGUGGUCUUUGCAUACCCAAUUCCCGGAUGCUUCUUCGAGGUCUGUUAGUUUUGGUUUUUUUUUUGGUUGUGCUCUAUGAAAAUGUAUUUACUGUGUUUACAAGAAGGUAAGCAGCGGCUCAUAUUCAACGCCGAAUGAACUGGAGAUACAAAUGAAUUGUAGUAACUCCUCGAAUAAAUGUAUUUCAGUUAAAAUAGUA
rnacentral:misc_RNA from 1 species